rnacentral:rRNA from 1 species
UACGUAGGGUGCGAGCGUUGUCCGGAAUUACUGGGCGUAAAGCGCGCGUAGGCGGCUUUGCAAGUCGAGUGUGAAAUCCCCAGGCUUAACCUGGGAACUGCAUUCGAGACUGCAUAGCUAGAGUAUGGGAGAGGGAAGUGGAAUUUCAGGUGUAGCGGUGAAAUGCGUAGAUAUCUGAAGGAACAUCAGUGGCGAAAGCGACUUCCUGGACCAAUACUGACGCUCAUGUGCGAAAGCGUGGGGAGCAAACAGG